rnacentral:rRNA from 1 species
UACAGAGGUCCCGAGCGUUGUUCGGAUUCAUUGGGCGUAAAGGGUGCGUAGGCGGCGGGGCAAGUCUGAUGUGAAAUCCCGGGGCUCAACCCCGGAACUGCAUUGGAUACUGCCUUGCUUGAGUACUGGAGAGGGAACUGGAAUUUACGGUGUAGCAGUGAAAUGCGUAGAGAUCGUAAGGAAGGCCGGUGGCGAAGGCGAGUUCCUGGACAGUUACUGACGCUGAGGCACGAAGGCCAGGGGAGCAAACGGG